rnacentral:lncRNA from 1 species
GAGAGGCUGAGGAGUACGUACCAAGGGACAGUUUGUGAGACUCUGGUAGGUCCGUGACUGAGGGCACCCUUGUGGGAUGCUGAGUGUAGCCAUCAGGAAGCUGGGUCCCAGCCAACUCAGCCUGGGCUCUGCCGUUCUCCAGUGGUCAGAUAAGAAAGAGCGGUGUGGUCCUCUAAGGGAGUGAGCGAGGACUGCAGCUGCUUUGAGCCCUGGCCAGAGCCUCCAAUCAACCUUUGGUUCUGAUAAAGACAAGAAACCCAAGUACAACCUGUAGAGCCAGAGGUGGGGGCCAGGAAGCCCUGUUCUAGUCUCUCUGCACAACCUUGAGCCAUCUCAUCAUCUGCACAUCUGCCUGAACCUCAGUCUCCCACUCUGGACGUUGUCGGGGUGAUGGAGCAAGCAUUCAGUUAUUCUCUGCUGGAUUCUGAUGUGGUCUAAAGUCCACACUUUGUUGUGAAACACCGCAAUCUGUGAUGUACAGAACCUAUUACUGCGGCCACCCAGGAAUGCUGGGGGCAGGCCUUUUGAGAAGGUGAAUCAGCGUGUGUUAGCUCAGGGCAGAGGGCCUGGCGGUGAGACGUGAGAACAGCCAAUGUCAUGGCGGUGGGGGAGUGGACGUGAGCCAUCUGGGGCCCAGCAAACAGCAUGUUGAAAAAAACGAGGAACUCAAAGGCAGAUGAGCCUACCACGCUGGGAACAGUUGGGAGUACAUUGCUCAAGGGAGGGACCCACAGCUCCGGCGCUCCGUUCAGCAUCUGGAAGAGCAUAGCUCGCUGUGAGCGGCCGCCCCAGAAGACUGUAUCCCACCCAGCCAGCUCUCCUGCCUGCUUGCCUCUGCCCCACACCAGGACACUUCAUACUGUCAGAACCACUGGGUGUGUGAGCUUGUGAGAGGGUGUGUGGGCACACAUGUCCCUGUGUGGGGUGUGGAGGUCAGAGGGCAACUUGGAGGAAUUGGUUCUCUCCUUCCACCACUGGGGCCCAGGAAUCAAGCCGAGGUUCCCAGACGUGGUAGCAGCCUCCCUUACCUGUUAAACCAGUGCUUCCCAGACUUCCUAAUGCUGUGACCUCAUGCUGUGCUGACCCCCGCCCAUGACAUUAUCUCUGUUGGUAUUUUAUAACUGUAAUUUUGCUACUAUUAUGAAUCACAAUGUAAA